rnacentral:tRNA from 1 species
AAUAAGGUUUCUUAAUGGUUUAAGAAUAUAUUUAUCCGCAAGAGUUGAUAUAUUAAUGAGUUCAAUUCUCCUUUAUUU